rnacentral:lncRNA from 1 species
UUACCAAGGCUUUGACUGGAAUGUCAUAGUUGAGAGAGAGAUGCAUAGAUUCAGACAUGACCAGACAGCUGUAAGGAACUGCCUGAAACUUGGCUCGGCUUCCUGGCCUCAGAGGCUUUGAAAGAGUCAAAUCUGAGAUUCCUUAUAAAAAGUUCCAGCAAAGCAGUCUUAAAAGAGCUUAUGUGGUCAAUCACCAUUCUUGCUACACUCAUGUAAAUAAUCAGGCCAAGUUUAAUACAAACAAAUUAGUUUUACUCUGAUUAUCUUUGGUAAAAAAUGGGGUAAUUGUAGAGAGAAAAAUUAUGUUUGCACCUUUGUAGAUAUUUAGAUUCUAACCCUGUUAAUUGUCUUUGAGGUUUUGUUAUAUACCUGUAAACUGAACUGGAUCCUAAAUUCUUCUAAUUUUCUCAAAUAUCUGGCUACCACUCUCCAACCGAAUGUUUCCUAUUGCCUCCCAUCCUUCUGAUUUGGAAUCACUGAGACCAAAGACUGUCCUUGAAUCUCCUUGGAAAGGAAUAUACUAGGUCUUCCUCCCGACCCAGAUGGCAGCCAAACCUCCAGGACUUAAACCUUGGCUACACAUCUCACAGUGGAAGAAAGCUCCUCCUGACCUCUGGUCCUUUACAAACACUGAAGACCUCUGAAUCAAACUGAUGAGCAGGAGAAGCAGCUGACAUUGACGUAGACUGCUUCCACCCAAGACACCAGAUCAAGAUUUCCCAUUUUAACUAAACAUGAAACACUGUCUUCCUCUCUUCUUUCCUUUACUCUGGCAUUGGCCUGGCAAGAUAAUGCCACCAUCAUAUCUCCCAAGCCAUUACUAAGGGAGAGCAACCUUUCAGACAGCUGGAUUCAUCAUCAAAAACUCCAAUCUGUUCAUGAUGCUGGAACCCAUGAACAAUGCCACCUGAGCAGUAAUGGUUUACGCCCCAACAGGAUUUAAUUUCAUCGGUGGUGGUGAUCAUUCUCCUUGGACCUAUAAAUGCUUAGAUGGCUAACACAUAACUGGGCAAUGCCCCUUAGGUUAUCUAACUGUGCCACUCAACUGUUCUCAAAUAGGCUAAGACACUUCAUUGGUCAACUCCCCUAAUCAUCCAAUUCGAAAAGACCUGCCAGGAGGCCUUCAUGAUUCAGGAUGUGCUUCUUUCGGCAGGUCCCUACUUCCUUUGUUAGGAGUGAGUACAAAUGAGGCUGUGAUCAGAAAUCCCUCCUUAACUCUUGAAAGUAUUGCAGAAUUCGCUGCUAAAGCAAUAGCUGCCCAAUGAAAAUCUCUAGACUCUCAGCUCAAAGUAGUUCUUGAUAAUAUGACAGCCCUUGAUCAUUUGUUAGCUGAGCAAGGAUGUGUCUGUGCUGUGGCCACCACCGCUGCACCUGGAUUAACACUUCUGGGGAAGCUGAAAUUUAGUUACAUAAAAUCACUGAGUGCGCCACUUGGCUUAAAAAGGUGACUCCUUCAACAGAGUAUUUCUUUCACUUAUUGGAUUUUGAUUGGUUUGGGUCUUGGGGACCAUGGCUCUGAAGUGCACUCCAGACAUGGGAAUUAUCCUACCAGUAACAGUCAUAGUAAUCUCCCUGAUGCACUGUAUUCUCUCAAAAGCUUUAAAUGCGUGUUUGCAGCUGCUAACCAUCAAGCAAAUGAAUGUGAAGUCGUGACCUGUGAAUACCACAGGAUUCAGCAGAAAACCUCAUGACCUGUGACUAUAACACGGAGAAACAGUAAAAGCUGCGAGACCAACAGAGCGGUAGCUGAGAGUGGCACUAAUGCCUUAAAUUUUGAUCACAUCUUUCAAGUUAUGCUAAGAGUCUCAUGCAAAGGGGGAGAACUGUUAAAAAAGAAAAAACAGGAACAAAAUGGUGUCACUUGUGCUAAGUCCCACAUCAAUAAAUCAAGACUUAAUUGCACUUUCAGUCUCUCACAGGAAUGUGACCUUUAACUAGUCAAUCUGGAAUUACCUGGUCGGCAUGAGUGAGUAAUCUGCCUCAUAGAUCCCCACACUACUCUUCCCCAAAGGAAGGUGAUCUUGCCCGAAUCUGCUCUUUGCUAGAAACUUCCUUUAUUCCGUCCCUUCUGCCCAUAACAGCCUUCCACUUUGCAUAGCUCCUUGGACCUCCCUUCUAUUUGCUAGCUGGGAUGCUGCUCAAUUCAUGAAUUGUUGGAUAGAGCCAAUUCGAUCUUCAAAUUUACUCAGUUGGCUUUUGCUUUAAACACCUUAGCAUCAUCAUCCUCUGAAAAUAAUGCUAAUUUUGUCUUUUUUCUAUUACUAUAUUUCUUUCUUUCUCUUAUCUGGGGGACAAAGAGAUUAAUUAGAACACUAAGGUUCCUUAGAGGAUGUAAGACUUCGGUGAAUCUUGCAGGAAUAGCAGCAAUUGGACUGGCUAAGAGGGGAGGAUGACAGAAAUAUAGCCACGCAUUGCUCAAUGAUGGGGAUACAUUCUGAGAAAUGUGUUAGGCAGUUUCAUCAUUGAGCGUACUUACACAAUUCAUCAUAGAGUGUACUCACACAAACCUAGAUGGUAUAGACUACUACACACCUAGGCUAUAUGGUACUAAUCUUACGGGACCACCCUCCUAUAUGCCCUCCGUCCUUGACCCAAACGCUGUUAUGCUGUGCAUGUCUCUAGAUAAAAUUGAGCUGUCCUACUCCCAACUAACGGAAGUCAGUUGAUAGAACCGCUGGUGGCACCUGGAACUCUACAUAUUACAUCACAGAAAAACUCAGACUAGUAGUGUCUUGGAACAUGUUUUGUUCAUAGUAAGUGUGAAAAUAAAGGAAAACCUCUUUUAAAAUGGAGUCAUGAAACCCUGAAGGGGGACCUCUCACGUACAUACCACUCACUGCUGCCUGCCUAACUGGCAGGAAGAUGGACGAUAAGAAUUAUUUUAACCAGGCCUAUUUGUAUAAAAUUCUCUCAGUCCCAACUUCUUAUCCGUGAUGAUAAGAAUGUAACUUUUCUGCUGGUGCAACGGAGGACAUCUUCACCUAGGAAUUUCAUCUCCUGCUUUUAAGAAAAGGAAGGAAGAUCCGUCCCUGCCGCAGCGACAACGCAUUGUCACAACCUUACACUCUUGUUCUUCUCCAAUGAACUUUUAUUCUAAAUAACCCUCCUUAAUUUCCUCCUAACACCUAAUAAAAACUAACUUUCCCCUUGUCUCUUCCAACUUGCCUAUGGUUCACCAUAGUUUGCACGUCCAGAAUUGCAAUUCCUCGGCUAUUCCCAAAUAAACUCAUUUUUUGAGCUUGCCCCCCAGACAGCUUCAUUUAGGUUGACAUAACAGCUAAAGAUAGUUUUAGUCUCUAUUAACAUCACAACCAAAUACUUAAAUCACAACCAAGUACUUAAAAGCCUGACAUAAUUGUAGACUCAUAAGUGAAAUGUCACAUUAUCAUUUUCAAUAAAUCAGCAUCAAUUUAACAUUUCGGAGAGCCCCCCAAAUUCUCAGCACUCAAAUCCAAGACAAGAAAGAUAAAAAACAGUACGACUGCAUUCUGGUUAUCCUAUGAAUUAAAGUGGAGUGAGUGUGAGUGAGUGUGUGUGUGUGUGUGUGUGUGUGUGUUUUAAAGCCUUUUGUUCACCAGCUUCUUUCCCUAUCUUACACUGUACUCCCUAAGGACUGUGUAUAUCAUUUAACUUUCUCCAUUGAACGAUAAACUUCAGAAGGUCUGGCCAUUUUGGUUCUACGGGGUUUCUAUCUCUUGCGCUUUCCCAGAUCAUACCAUGUAUUUAAUAUGCAUUGACCCACCUGUGCAGAAAAGGGACCGUCUAGUCUCAUGCUUAAAUCAGUACUAUGUCACUAUCCAUCGAUCAAUAAGUUGUGCAUUCUCGGUGACAACUGAAUGUUUUCUCUUUCAGCUGAAGUUUAAAGGAGGAGGGGAGUCGACUCCAAAACUGCACACUGGUGUAGCCCCAAACGGAAAUACAGCGAAAGCUCGAGCGACCUCUCCCAGCGCAAACGAGUCCACCCCAGCUUCAGGAAACGAAGGAGUAUGUGGGGUUGCGGAUGACUGGCUUUGGGGCUCAUUCUUUUCACUACAGCGCCCCAGGAGCGGAAGGCAAGCCCAGGCUCCAGGGACCACGCAGUCCCGCUGGGGCUGAGAGCGUCUCCCCCAGGGUGUCCCGGACGCCCGGCAGGAAAGAGCGCCGCCGGGCCGCCGACACCUGAGCGCGCGCCCGGUGGGGCGGGCCGGGAGCCCUCUCUCCCUUCCGCCUGCGACGCGCGUUGUCGGUCGAGCCGGUGUAUGUGCGGUAAUAACAUGUCUGCCCCGCUUCCCGCCAUCAUCCCCGCCGCCCGGAAGGCCACUGCUGCGGUGAGUGGCGGCAGCCGGGGCUCGGAGGGGACCCUCGGCCCGCUGCUCACCACUGCCCUUCGCGCAGGGUUGGCGUCGCUGACCGCCUGGCGGCCGGUGGGUGGGUUCCCUCCGCCGGGUCCGGGGUGGGCUGGGUGGGUGGGGUGGGGUGGGGUGGUCGGUGUCGGGAGGGCGCCGGGGCUGCGGCCGGGCCGGAGGAUCAGCGCGCCCGCCCCCGUCAGCCCCGAGCCCUCUGCAUUGCGGAGCGAGUCCCCAGCUUGUAGGGACCGGCGUUAGCGGCCAGGCACCCUAACUCGAGGUGGCUCCGUUGCUCGUUUCUCUCUUGUUUGUGGGUGAGGGAAGUCUGAAGUCCUCAAGAAAAUGACUUUAUUUUCUUACCUUGCACUCGUGUCCUGAAUUAAAGAAGUUUGAAGAUUGGCAACUUAUGACAUCACAGGGUGCUGUUUUUUAGAAAACCGUGUACGAGGAGCUCAAAUGUCUUUUUAACCCCGGAAGCUCCUUUUUGUGAUGGAAAAAGUCUACAGUUUACAUGAGACUUGCAUGGUUUGACUUGAAACAAACUAUUUUUCCUAGAAUGUUAUUUGCACUUAAGAAUGUCUAACUGGGACCUCUUUAAGUGCUAAGGCCGCACAUUAAUUAUCUUCGGAACUACAGUGAGAGAAAUUAAGUAUUUUUCCCACUGAAGAGAGCUCUAUGGAGUUUGAUUUGCUGAAGGUAGUGUUCUGAAAUUCUGGCAUCCAGAAUUGACCAACGCUAGUGUGUAUCAAUUCUGUGUGGGUUUAUUUGGGCAUUGUUUAUUAAUUUUUUCUCUUGUAGGUGAUUUUCCUUCAUGGAUUGGGAGAUACAGGAAUUUCCUCUCAUCAUCGUGAAUUCGUCAUUUUUCAACUCCUGUUUCUGGAACGUAUUAAAAUUGCAAACGCCUCCUUGAGUUGCUGUGGGCAUUGGAUACCAGAGAUGGGUGGAAUGUUUGUAGAGAGUGUGCAACUGAGAGCUUUCCGGAGGAGUUAAAAUUUCAGGGCAAGUUGAGGAGAACAACUGGUUGAUUUUGAUAAGAGCAAUAAUCGCAAUGUGAGGUAUACGGCAUUCUGAAUGAAAGCUUAAUUAUGCCCUUAAGAGAAAAAAUCAGUUCAAGGGUCGGGGAGGCAACUCAAAGAUUUAUUUGGCAGUUUAUCAAACACAUUUUGUUGUGCUAACUUGAGAUGUACAAUUUAUCUUUCAGUCAGGCUUUUCCUAUAUUGUGAAGUGUUUGUUUUUAAUUUAAAUUGUGAUUAUCUGUUUGAAACUUAGGUAAAACUGUAACAAAAUUGCAGAAUUAGAGGAAAACUGAAGAUAAACAAAUUUUGAGUAGGUGGUCAAAUAAACUAUUAAAUAAACUAUUAAAUCUUCUUUAUAAGGGUGUGUUGGGCUAGAUUAAUUCUUCAAAGUGAUUCCUGAUAUUCUUUUUAUGCCCUUUAAGUAGAGGUACAUGACAACACGGAAAAGAUUGUAGGACUCUUUCUGGCAAUGAGGUAGUCCUAUGAAAAUGAUAGACUUAUAUUUUACUAUUUUAUUUUCCUGAACAGGUUUAGAGAAGCUCUCUUUUAUAAUCAAACCCUUCUUGAUACUGAGAGCCGGGGAGGAACUUGCUACCCUGUCACUUGCCCAAUAAAGAGAGCUUCUAGGCCUGAAGAAUCAGUCCAAGAAAAAAAACUUCAGUGUAGAAAGCUUCUCUGUGGGCCCCCAUUUUGACAUAUUCUGUAGACUGAAGUUAAGAGUGAAAAUGAACAAUGUGAGAUUAAAAAUACCAAGAGCAUCCAGGACAUCUUGACCGAGAAUUAAGUUUACAUACAAAAUUAGCUGGCCAGCCCCAUGGCCGAUUGGUUAAGUUCACGUGCUCCGCUCCGGUGACUCAGGGUUCACCGGUUCCGAUCCUGGGCACAGACCUGCACGCUGCUCAUCAAGCCAUUCUGUGGCAGCAUCCCACGUGGAAGAACUAGAAUGACUUACAACAAUUCAGGCGUGAGGAGGGGAGAAGUCCUAAGGCUCUGACAUUCAUACCGUGUCCCUGGUUCCAUUCUAAGCUAGGAAAUGCUAACUCUUAUGAGGUUCAUGUAGAAGAGUGAGCUUCGGGUCUUUUCUCUCAAAAUUCUAUGACGAGACUAACCAAAGGCGGGAAUUCUAAUGAGGGAACUUGGCUGAACUUUAGGCUUUGAACACUGAAUCUAGAAGGGUCGCUGAGAGUGUAAGUACAUGAAGUGGAUUAAGUGACGGAGUGAUGGCCAUAGUGAAGAUUAACUGGGCUCCGAAAUAGGAGAGAAAUCACUGAACAUGAGGCUCAACUUAUGUCCUAUCUACGGAAAGCCCAUUAAGGGAAGAUCAAUUUUAGAAAAUGUUAAAGAACAACCAGGUUUAAAUUUAGUACCAAUACUGAAUACUCAUUGAUUUUAAAGAAAAAUAUAUAUGCAUAUGCUAUAAUGCUAGUACCCCAUUUUAAAUAGAAAAAUUACCAUACCUGACUCACCUUCUCUUCACUGAAAGAGAAAUUACUAAUCUUAAAAAUGAAACUGUCUAAUUGCCAUUAUAUUUACAUUUCUCUACAUUUUAUCGGUGCCAAAACAUUUAAAAUAUAUCCUUCUAGAAAAUAAAUAUACUACAGAAGAUAAAACUAGUUGAAAACACAACCAUGUAACGUUUUAAGGCACUGCAUUCCAUUAGACAGAACCCAAAGUGAACUGAGUACAAAGACACAAUGUGAAGUUUAUACGUGAGACUCUUCCCUUCUCUCCGAUUUUGGACUCCAGUGUUAAUCUACAUGAAGUCAGCUCCCUAGCUACACAAAACAUAACUUCUCAGGAUUUAUUUGAAUUGUUAUAAGCAGGUAAUUAAGUAAACUAAAAGAAGUCUAACUGAAAAUUCAAUGUGCAAGUAAGCCGAGAUACACUUGAUAAGGAUUCCAUAUGCUAAUGGCCUUGGUGCCACGCCAGCUCUUUCCUCUGAAGUUCUCAGAUUUCAUCAAUCUUUGUGGACUGGCAGCUCAGCAGCUCCCUCACCUUCACUGAGCCACAAACACGUCUGGGCCAUCUGUGUCCUGAAGACAGGGGAGGACAUAUCAGCAUUUCCCCUUCCCCAGGAAUUCAGUUGACAUUCUUUAGUAAAAUACACAAAAGAACAGAUUGCGCUUCAUCUAUAGGGCAAUUUCACAUUUCGCAAAGCUGUAUGGUGCACAAAUCUCAUCCAUACACAUCUGAGGUCGUCAAUUCAUCAUCUCAUUAUAGCAAGAAAGAACAAACAUUCAACAAAUAUAUAUUGAGUGCCUAGCAUACGAAAGGAAGGACACUGAUAUGAACCCAUUCUUUGCCCUCAUAUUCUAUUAGAAGCCAUGUGACAUAUACGCAAAGGAACUCACACAAGGCCAAAUAGGAUCACGUGUGUGAUACACACCAAGAUCUAUAGCAGUAUAAUGAGCAAGAGAUCCUACUCCCAAGUAGAAUAGCUGGCUAAAAUAGUAGAAAUGUUAUUUCAGCUAAACCUUGAAGAAACUAAAACCGUUUUUGUCUUCUGUUGAAGAAGCAGAUAGGAAGAGUUAAACAUCUCAAGUAGAAGGAAGGGAUUAGGCAAAGCCAAAAACACACACAGUGAGUGUGCAAGGCCGUGAGCAGUCCAGACAGCGACAGCACUGGCUGUCUACUGCACAGCAACUUAAAACAAAGGCAAAUGACCAGCCCGGACCAGACCACAGAAGGCUCUGACUUCAAAGCUGGGAUUUAUCCAGUAGCGUCAGUGGGGAGUCACCAAAACACAGCACCGCUUAAGGAAGGUUAAUUUUUCAGUACACAGGACAUAGUAUAGGUCGAGAAAGCCUCGAGACAGAAAAAGUACAUUCUAAUAGUUUAACUGAUAAAGCCCAGAACUAGAAUGAUGUCAGUAAGCGGGAGUGCAAGGUGAUUUAAUAAGUAUCUUAAAGUGAUCUAGAAAAGUAUCUUAUAGUGAUCUACAGAAGAUGAAACAGAAAUGAGGAAAUUUAUGCAAAUAUAAAUUAAAAGGAAAAAUCUUCAUCAGAAAGCUUAUUCGAACAAGUACCUUGUAACCAACGGAGACAGGGGAUGGGGUCUUUCUUAAGAAGAAUUCAAAAAUCACCCAAUUGGGACGGACAGUUUAAGGGCUCAUUCUUCUGGAGACAGAUUUCGUUUACUCAUUCAACAAACACUUAUUGCAAGCCUACUGUGUACCAGAAAGCAUCGUUAAUUCCCUCAAGAACAAAGCAAACAACAGAACAAGCAGGGGAUUCACUGUUGGCCCUUAAGAAAGGCAUCAUCUCUGUCCUCUCUGAAAGAACUGGGACUUGUUCCACUGGAGAAAGAAAAUGAGCCUCGAAUUUCUUCCCAUAGUCAGGUUUCAAGACUCACAAGACAUAGCAGGUGUUCAGACUACAAUAAUGAGAUAUGUUAUUCCCAAAUCUUAAAGCACAUGCUGCCUAUGCAAAUUCAACAACAUCCAACUCCACAAAGAUUUUCAAAUAUGCAAUUCCACUUAGACUAUCAACUCUUAUCCAAAUUCUCAACUAGCUGUUCCUUGACUAAAAAGUUACCUGUAACUUGAUCUUCAGUGUUACCCAUAAAAAAUUAUUAGCCCAGCAGGAAACUCCCAAAAGAAAGUCCCCGCUCUGACUGAAACAGUCUCUGCUGUGGUUUAAAAAGAAGAAAAAAAAAACACACUUGCAAGAAAGAAAUCGAAACACUCCAAUACUCUUUAAGAACAAGAACAAAACAAAUCAAUAGCAGCCCUCUGAUGACACCUGGUGGCCGCUUCUCACAGGAAGUUUCUUUCAGCAUUUUAAAGAAAUUAUUCCAGGAAACGUUAACAGUUCUCAACCACUUCACAUGCUAUCUUGACUAUGGGCAGCACACAUGAAGUCUCUCCCCUCAUUUCCCUCCUUUUUGUUCCAGUUUUCACUUAUUUUGUUCCAGUCUUCACUUCUCUUUUCAUCUCUUCUCUCUUUUCUAACCAGUAGACAUUAAGGCAGCUUGAGCUUGCUUUCUGUCUCUUUCUCACACCCUCUCUCACUCACUCACACACACACACACACACACACACUCACACUCACAGACAUCCUCUCUCACUGGUACAAGGCCACCCACACAGGAAACCACCUUCUCCCUGCCUCCGUCCCACGCCAUCUCACCCUUCACCCCUCCUAGACUUACCCAAAUUAGUGGUGCAAGCAGUGUGCAGUUAGCACGUGUUGGCACCAGGCCCAUGGUAAAGUCACAACAGGGGAUAGUGUGCAGCAUGGCUGGCGUGCACACACGUGCAUUUAUAAAAGCUCCCAAUGCUCUUUUGCCCUUUCCCUUUGAGGAGGUCAAAAAAGGACGAACUCCAGAAGUUGUGGAGAUCCUACAGCACAGUCUCCUCCUGGAAGGGCAAGCUCCUGAACACUCGGGUCCAGCCAAACCCACCUCCAUCAACGUGCCAGGGACAGGCUGCAUUGCAUUCCUAAGGGUAAGUCUGUUAACUCUACCUUCCCCCACUAGGAAAAUGCCUGUGGCGAUUCAGAAUGAGUCCACAAAUUCUCUGACACUCCCUUCAAAAGGUGGAGCCUAAUUCCCUCCCCUUGGUGUGGGCUGGCCUUGGUGACCAAGUGCUUGCAAGGGACAGAAAACAGUGGCAGUGAGGGUUUUCGGCUCUGGAGACACAGUCACAGAGGUGCCGGUAUCCUGCUUGCCCCCUCUCUUGAUCACUCCGCCCAAGGAAGUGGGGGACCUGUCGCAAGAACACUUCUGCAGCCUGUGCACAUGGAGGCCCAGGGGGCAAGGAACCGAAGCCUCCUACCAAGAGCCAAAGAGGAACUGGGGCCUCCUGCCAACAGCCAUGGGAGUGAGCUGCCUGGAGAGCAGCUCCUCCAGCCCCAGGCAAGCCUUCAGAUGAUUGCAGCCCCUACAAAAUCCUGACUGCAGCCACGACCAACUGGGUAAUGAGCCUACUCCACACCCUGACCCACAGAAACUGAGAGAAUAAUAAAUGCUUAUUUGCUUUAAGCCACUAAGUUCUGACAUAAUUUGUUACACAUCGAGUAGAUAACUAAUAUAAUGCCCUCUCUCUCCUUUGCACCUGAGCAAGAGUAGAUAGAGCUCAAGUUCACCCCUCGUUUGUAUAUAUUUUACAUAGAUUUCCUUUCCUAUACCCUCCAACCUUUAACAAGAAUGUUCUAUACUAUCACAAUAGUAUUAAGGUACACGGGAGGAGGUCCACGAAGUAUACUGGUUGAAGAGAAGAAUUCCCAUCAAACUUCUGAAAGAUUUCAAAACUUAAUAAACUGACAUUUACAUUUAUGCCUCUCCCACUACCAAAACCAGACUUGACACGGCUUACAAUGAAAAACUGGGAUACUAAAAUCAAGAAUUAUUAAAGAGCUAACUAACAAAGACAUGAGGUAGAGAGUUUCAAAUUUAGAUUUGUAUGGAAUAAAAGAAAUGUCUUCAUGUUUCCUGAAAAACCUCAUUUUGGAUGAAGGCAUUCAUUCUUAUUGGCCCCUAGAAUCAUUUAUAGCAAACAACUUGCCUCAAAGAUAACAGUAGCCAUGAGUUCCUGUCCAGCUAAGCUCAGAAAUGUUAGCAACCUCUAUUUCUACUCUUCCCCAAACCUGAUGGGGCAGCCCAUGCAGUAAACACCUAUACAGCCACAUGCCACUGGGGCUGAAUGAGUCACAAUCCUUUUGGCCACACAGAAUACAAAACUUCCUCACCCUCACCUAGCAGGAGGCAUUCAAACUUCGGAGAUGUAGGGGCUCUGGUCACAGGACUCACAUCUGAUUAAGUUCCACCUCCAAAGCAUCUCACAUGCCAUGUCUAGCCUACUUCUAAAAAUAACCUUCCCCAGCCAGAGUCCAAGGACAAACCCAAGACAAGCUAGAACUAUGUGCUCUUAAGCCCAAAUGGUCAGAGUAAAUAAAACUAUCGACAGAGAGAAAAAAAUUCGCACUCAAGUCAGAAGAGAAUACUGUUCCUAUUCCAGGGGAUACCCAUGUUCUGUUUCAAAUACCUAAUUUGAUUCUGCCUGCAAGUUAAAAAUUAGAAUAUUUGCUUAGUGCUUAAGUUAGAGCUAAAACAAUCAUUAAAAAGCCAUACUAAUAGGGAUCAAGCCAUGGUGACUGUAACAGAAUAAACAGACCUCACCCCUUUCAUUAUCAAAGAGUCUCCCCUUCCCAACACUACUCGUGAGGAUGUAGUAACAGCAACAUAACGUGACAAGUCAUGGGACAAAAAUAAACUGUAACAUUAGCCCAGUUUUCUUACUUGGCUGUUUCUUUUAUUAAAAUGUUCCUACACUUCAAGUACUAUUUUCCAAAUACAUUAAAUUGAUCCAGUAAUAAAGUCAAUUUUAUGGCGAUCUUAACCACCUCUGACAAAGCUAUCUUGUGUAGUAGGAAAGAUUUUACACAAAAAGUUAAAAUCCAAUAUAUCUCCUUUCAAAAUGUAUUUUUAAAAUUAAUGCUUUG